rnacentral:rRNA from 1 species
ACGGGAGGCAGCAGUGGGGAAUAUUGGACAAUGGGGGCAACCCUGAUCCAGCGACGCCGCGUGAGUGAAGAAGUAAUUCGUUAUGUAAAGCUCUAUCAGCAGGGAAGAUAAUGACGGUACCUGACUAAGAAGCUCCGGCUAAAUACGUGCCAGCAGCCGCGGUAAUACGUAUGGAGCAAGCGUUAUCCGGAUUUACUGGGUGUAAAGGGUGCGUAGGUGGCAUGGUAAGUCAGAUGUGAAAUACCGGGGCUCAACCCCGGAGCUGCAUUUGAAACUGCCAGGCUGGAGUACAGGAGAGGCAAGCGGAAUUCCUAGUGUAGCGGUGAAAUGCGUAGAUAUUAGGAGGAACACCAGUGGCGAAGGCGGCUUGCUGGACUGUUACUGACACUGAGGCACGAAAGCGUGGGGAGCAAACAGGAUUAGAUACCCUGGUA